rnacentral:ncRNA from 1 species
UGUCGCGACUGGCGAAGGUGGAUAACCACCGGGGAGCGAUGAAACACAUACCCUGAUGUAGCGCCGUCCGCCUGGGCG